rnacentral:rRNA from 1 species
UACGAAGGGGGCUAGCGUUGCUCGGAAUCACUGGGCGUAAAGCGCACGUAGGCGGAUUGUUAAGUCAGGGGUGAAAUCCUGGAGCUCAACUCCAGAACUGCCUUUGAUACUGGCGAUCUCGAGACCGGAAGAGGUAAGUGGAACUGCGAGUGUAGAGGUGAAAUUCGUAGAUAUUCGCAAGAACACCAGUGGCGAAGGCGGCUUACUGGUCCGGUUCUGACGCUGAGGCGCGAAAGCGUGGGGAGCAAACAGG